UACGUAGGGUCCGAACGUUGUCCGGAAUUACUGGGCGUAAAGAGCUCGUAGGUGGUUUGUCGCGUUGUCCGUGAAAACUCACAGCUCAACUGUGGGCGUGCGGGCGAUACGGGCAGACUGGAGUACUGCAGGGGAGACUGGAAUUCCUGGUGUAGCGGUGGAAUGCGCAGAUAUCAGGAGGAACACCGGUGGCGAAGGCGGGUCUCUGGGCAGUAACUGACGCUGAGGAGCGAAAGCGUGGGGAGCGAACAGG
rnacentral:rRNA from 1 species